rnacentral:RNase_P_RNA from 1 species
UUAGAAUGAGACUUCAUCGCUCCCAAUGGGAGAGGAAAGUCCGGACAACGCAGGGCGCCGUACUUCUCGAAAGGAAGGCUUGCUUCGGCAUGACAGAAAGUGCUGCAGAAAUUUAUACCGCCGAUGAUGGUUCCUUGAGCCAAACAGGUAAGGGUGAAAAGGCGAGGUAAGAGCUCACCAGCGACGAAGUGAUUUGUCGGCUUUGGUAAACCUUGCGGGUUGCAAGAUCGCAUAGUCUGGCAUUUGAGGAUGGCCCGUCC